AAACAUUCACUUCACCAUCCUCGUACACAAUAUCAAACUCCCAAAUUAUUUCUUCCGUAAAUUUGAGUUCAAGGAAGACCCUAGCAUAUGUACCUUGUUUUCUACUCUCGGUGACCGGAUCCAUGAUCAUCGGAAUGCCAAGUUUUGAUGCAAGCUCUCCCAACGUUUCCGCCGUCCAAUACUCAUUUUGCAAGCCAUGUAUCCGUGCCCAUAUGGGUAUUGAAGCCAUGCUACCCUUGUUGAAUGCAAACUUGUCCGGGAUAUUCUUGAUGAGGAGUGUUCGGCCAUCCGCAACGUACAGCCCUUCCUUGAGCACCUUGUCCCUAUCGUAUUCAUUAUCAAACAAGAAGAACAUGUAUCCGCCUUCCUCUUUGAACCUAGAUGGGACUCCCCGUGAUUUGCGUAGUUGAUUGAUAGCGUAGUACCCCCAAACCUUUUCUUUCGAUAUUGCUUUCGACCUUGUCAUUAGGAACGGUUCUUUCCGAGUCUUGUUANUCUGCUGUGUCACCUUCUCCUUUGAAUGAAGCGAAGGAAACUCGGAUAUAGGGAGAUUAGCAACCGUCCUCCUCAGAACCUCACCAUGUCCCGCUAAACCCAUGCCCUCCACAACACCAGUGCCCAUCGUCUGGUUGGGUAUAUCCACCAUCGUGUUCUGAGUAGCACUUUUAAUGGUGCAAGAAUCAGCCCUUACGUUACUUUCUUUUGAAUGAGAGUUUUGCACCAAUGGUAUGUUGCCACAUGGAGCAGCUUUCUCUUUUCCUUUGAAUGGAAUGGGCCCAUCCCUUCCAUCUUGCGUGCCUGCGUGGCUUCCAUUGACUAUUUAGCCUCAUCAUCCGCCUGAGAUGGCCUACCAAUCUCUUCAUUAGCUUGCAUAGUCAGCCCUGAACUUCCACGUUGACUGGGGGCCACACCGAUUCCAAGUUUAGGUAACACCUGCUGCUCCUCCACUUUUUGCCCAGCUUCCCUGGCAGAUAGUGACACGUGGUGGCACUUCUUCCCCAUCUUCACAAUCAAAGAGAGUCAACCUUGGGAUUAGAAAAGUUAAAACCAAGAUUGGAAUGCUAUGAUCGAAGCAGGUCGCUAGAUCCAACGCUGCGUAGAGAUAGAUCAUAGCAGCCUACACCAAAAGUAAACCCUAGAUGCAACACCCGCCGCCUAUGAACGGAGAGUCACCAGAGGCUCACCAGAGGCUCGAGCUGCUCACGCGGCGAGAGCGGGUCGCCGCGUUCCGGCCGGGAGAGGGUCUGGGAAAGGCCCCCUCGGGGGCCUUUUCCGGGCGUCGAACAGUCGACUCAGAACUGGUACGGACAAGGAAAAUCCGACUGUUUAAUUAAAACAAAGCAUUGCGACGGUCCCUACGGAUGUUAACGUAAUGUGAUUUUUGCCCAGUGCUCUGAAUGUCAAAGUGAAGAAAUUCAACUAAGCGCGGGUAAACGGCGGGAGUAACUAUGACUCUCUUAAAGUAGCCAAAUGCCUCGUCAUCUAGUUAGUGACGCGCAUGGAUUAACGAGAUUCCCACUGUCCCUGUCUACUAACCAGCGAAACCACAACCAAGGGAAUGGGCUUGGCAGAAUAAGCGGGGAAAGAAGACCCUGUUGAGCUUGACUCUAGUCCGACUUUGUGAAAUGACUUGAGAGGUGUAGGAUAAGUGGGAGUCUCGCGGAAAAAGUGAAAUACCACUACUUUUAACUUUAUUUUACUUACUCCGUGAGCCGGAAGCGGGGCAUCGCCCCUCUUUCUAGACCCAAGGGCCGCAUCCGCGGUCUGAUCCGGGCGGAAGACAUUGUCAAGUGGGGAGUUUGACUAGGGUGGCACAUCUAUUAAAAGAUAACACAUGUGUCCUAAGAUGAGUUCAACGGGAACAAAAAUCUCGUGUGGAACAGAAGGGUAAAAGCUCGUUUGAUUCUGAUUUUCAGUACGAAUACGAAUCGUGAAAGCUUGGCCUAACGAUCAUUUAGACCUUCGGAAUUUGAAGCCAGAGGUGUCAGAAUAGUUACCACAAGGAUAACUAGCUUGUAGCAGCCAAGCGUUCUUAGCGACGUUGCUUUUUGAUCCUUCGAUGUCGGCUCUUUCUAUCAUUGUGAAGCAUAAUUCACCAAGUGUUGGAUUUUUCACCCACCAAUAGGGACGUGAGCUGGGUUUAGACCGUCGUGAGACAAGUUAGUUUUACCCCACUGAUGACAGCGUCGCGAUGGUAAUUCAACCUAGUAGGAGAGGAACUGUUGAUUCGAACGAUUGGUCAUCGCGCUUGGUUGAAAAGCCAGUGGUGCAAAGCUACCGUGCGUUGGAUUAUGACUGAACACCUCUAAGUCAGAAUCCGGGCCAGAAGCGACGCAUGCUUAUAGGUGAUGAAAUCACUAUCAUUUAGGGUAGUUUUUAGAGUCUUUUU
rnacentral:rRNA from 1 species